ensembl:lncRNA
AGUUGCCCUGUAAGUCCAGCCGGUACAGCAUGGAAUCUGUUUGGUAAUUACUACACAAUAUGCUGUACCUAGUAGGGUUAUCACUGCUGUUUUGACGGGAAUACAUAAUGUCCUGUGAAGCAGGUGCAUAACUGGAUGGACGCAUUGUGUUAGUGCGUGGAUUAUUGUGACGCAACAGUAAGUGUUCCAACAGCGCGCUGUAAAUGACACUGAGAGCACUGCGUCUGAGGACACUCCCCGAGGCGCGCCUUUCCUGACAAACAAAAGAAACUGGAAAAAAAGAAGAAAAAUCAAUUCCUUUCAAAAGCUUCUGGGACAUUAUCAUUAUUUGGAAGGAUAGGACGGCACAGAGGGCCCUUCUUCGUCGGGUCUAAAGCCAAUUAAUUCUCUGUUCCAGAGGUGGACAAUCGUUGCCGGGCCGAGUAUUUGGCCACGGAAAGCUAUGUUUCGAAAAAAUGAAGACGCAAGGAUGAAAGCUUGGGGGGUUCAAUCGGAUGGAUCUUCAAGUCGGCACGUGUCCGCGUCCUCUGUCAGAGCGAUGAAGCCAGGCGUCAAACAUCUACGCUGGUUGCACAUACUUCCUCUGGUGGUCCUUGUGGCAGCACAGGCUUCCUGUAAUGAGACCUCUGCUGCUCCUUCCCCUCCAUUCAUUACUACUGAAAAUGUCUCGACAUCCGGUAAAAGCUGACAGAAUCAUCUCACACACUGACAUACCAGACAUAUCAGCAAUGCUACUUGAUGACUCUAGUUUAUAAAAUUAUCAAAAUGAUCGUUCAUUUUACUUGAGGAUGGAUGGACAUAUAGUGAUGGUUUUACAUGUAGAAUAUAACUAGUGUAUAAGUAUAUGUUAUUUUACAAUUAGAAUCAUCCCAACCUGAAGCUAUUAUGAACGUUGAUCUUAAAUUGUCCUUUACGGUCAGUUAAAACCACAUUCUGUCUUUCUUCUUACGACAGCGCACUACUU